AAGUCGUAACAAGGUUUCCGUAGGUGAACCUGCGGAAGGAUCAUUACUAGAAGUUUGGCUGGGAGUUUUCCAGCCAACCUCCCACCCUUUGUGUCCAUGCCCUUGAUGUUGCUUUGGCGGGGGGGCCCCCGCCAGAGGUGUUAAACCCGUUGAAAAUGGUUAUUAACUGGUCCACAAACUUAACAAAACUUUCAACAACGGAUCUCUUGGUUCCG
rnacentral:misc_RNA from 1 species